AACAAAUAACAGCAGAGCCUGAAGUAAAGUCCGGAAAUCGUUUGUGUAGUCGGCUGAAUGGUAGAGAAAUCUCAGCGUUAAGUUUUUAAUGAUCCAGCGGUGGAGUGUGGAUGAGUGCAUUUGGCUGAGCACUCUGACUGUAUAAAGCCGCAGGACCAUAGACGAACUUCUCAACCGGUGGGUCCUGACCUAAAAGUGGGUCGGGGACACAUUCUGGAUGGGUCGCGAACAGCUGGUCAAAAAAGUAAAUAUUUAAAGCUGAUCUGAUGUUUGACAUGUCUUUUAUUUUGAAAAAUAGCUUCUUUUAAAAGGCACGCGUCACUUCGUGGUCCUCCUCGGUUUCUUAUUAAUGUGGCCUGAACGCAGUAAAAAUACAUGGUCUUUUUUUUGUGUGCAAUUUGAUAUUUGAUAUUUUCUCUAUAUGCAACUUUAGUAGUUGUUGUCCUCAGUUCAUGUACUCUAAAAUGCACUUAAUAAAAUGGGUAUAUUUAUGUUAAAGAUUUGAGUCUUUAAAUUAUUAUUAUUUUUAAUAAAAAGUAGGUCGUGACUUAAGGACCAUGGGAAACUAUUUUACUUGUUUAUUUAUUUUUUAUUGCUAUAUUCAAAUUUUGUGCUUUAUGUAAAGUGUCUUUGAGUGUCAUGAAAAGCGCUAUACAAAUAAAAUAAAUGAUUAUUAUUAUUAUUAUUAUUAUUAUUAUUAUUAUUAUUAAUAAAAUGUGGGUCCCAGAGUGAGAAAAGUUGAGAACCACUACUUUAGGGAACCAGCUGCAAUAUAAGCUGUAAGAAUCUUUUUUUGAAUGUAUGUGUAUGUGGUUUGUGAUGUUUUUGCAGACAGCCUCAAGUGGACACUCAAGGAACUGCAGUUUGUUGCACUUCAGCGUCAUCUUCAUUCCUGAAGACUGGAGGUCGCCGCAUCUGCAACCCCGACCAAAACACCGAGCAAAACACGAUAGAGGCUGAGGGACAGGUUCAGUCAGAGAACCUCAAACUCCUGCUGGAGGUGGACAGGUCACGUCUCCCAGCAGGACAUCAGAAGGAGACUCUGAGGGUGCAGACAUGCCCUGAAGCAAACCCUACGUGGACCUGAUGAAGCAACAAUGAGAGUGGGAGGAGACCAGGUCCCGUCUGCAGGUACAGCACCAGUGAAGCAUGAACAGAAGCAGACCAGAACUGACCUUGAAAACAUAAAAAUGUAGGUGUGGGAGGAAGACCUGCCUGAACCAGACUCAACAGGAGCUGGAAAAACUGCAGCUCCAGUGGCAGCAGAUGCCGAUAAAUAACAUCAGUAUAAAUAAAAAUUAACACCCUCUAUCCUUAAUUAGAAUAUUGUUGCCAUGGAAACCAUACCAACCACCUCUAUAGGUAGGCGAGUCAUGUGCACCCUGCCAGGUUUCUGCUCUGCAGAACUCCAUAUUCACCAAACAUGACCCUUUACUUACAGGUGGGGUAGACAGGGAUCUGUUUAAGACGCAUCUUAUUUUGUGGUGUAUAAACAAAAAAGCUUUUAAUAUCAGUCAAUAGCUAUUAGUUAUUGAUGACAUUUGGUAAUCUAAUGAUAUCACUGUGUUCUGUUAUGUCUGUGUAGUCAACAUUUUUACAUUUUUGAGCGGCCCGCACUUUCUGACUGUAAACAAAGCCGUUCUCCAACUCCCUGACCUGAUUGGCUGUGAGGCAGUCGCCGCUCCCAUGUGUUGUGAGGCACGCUCCAUGUCCUCACAUAACAUUCACGAGCCCAAAGAAAGCUAGCGGACGGUAGAAACCAACCAGAAAGUACAGAAAAUUUUUUGAAUCCUUCUGACACAAGCAAGAAAACAAAGUAAAUACCGGAGACUCUGGCGGAAUAACAGGCGCUUAAAACGGAGGUAGACCGGACAAGAGCUAAUGAAGCUAGCAUAAACGAUGGGGACACUUCAGGAUCUUAGAGACCCUGUAACCUUUCUGCUGGACAGGUAAACCACUUUAACAAAGUAAGACAAGUGUCUGUAACAGAAGUGUUUCUUGUCAAACAGGACCUGCUGUAGCGUGUUGUAGCGCCAUCGCUAAACUGUCCUCCCUCGGGUCCUGGACUAUGUCACUUUAUUCUGGUUGUAGAAGUCCUGCAAACAUUGUGUUUGCCGGUAGUCUGUUGGCAUCUACAGUAGCACCAAUGCUUUUCACUUUCACGUUGACUGGGCCCCAUUUGUAAUUAUCUGAAGUAUUUAUCUGCAUUAUAUCUGAAUUUAAUUGGAACGAUACGAGCGAGCAGGAGUGUCUGUUUGUGGGCGGGGCUUUCUGGAGCAGAGAGGGAGGGGAGAGGAGGAGCUGAGGGGAAAACUGGUUAGGAGGGGUAGAGUUUACAUUCAAAGAUUUCUCCCCAAAACUGACACUUCCUCAUAUCCUGCCUACCCCACCUUUAAGGGACUGUAUACAGAAAUGCAUCAUUUUAAAACUCUGAAGUGCCUCGUGCUCCUGACCUUCUUUCUCUGUCGUGUUGCUGCUGUAAAGUCAUAAAAAUCAGGAACAACCUCUAUAACAUGAGGAGGUUUGUCAGUUUUUAGGUGCUGUUAGAAUCACUGAUGCACACUUUGCAUUAUUCCUCCUCUCAUUGAUUCACAAACUCCUCCAGGCUUUCAGGAGUUGUUUGCGCGCAGAGAGCAGACGUCAGAGCAGCUUUUGCAUGAGUACAGAGAAACAUCUCGUCCGUUCAGACAGCUGUCAGCUGUGUCUCUGCUGUCACUGUGUGCUUCUUCAGCACAACCGGAGCCAACACCACCUCUCCUCAGGUCUGACGAAACACAACAACCCUCUGCUGUCUCAACGAGAUGCAGCAUAUCAUUAAAAGACAGCGCAGGCUCUCACAAAGACCCGACAUGGGCCGACAUGAUUAAAGGGUUUUACACAGAGAAAAAAGAAAGAGAAGAAAAGAAAGAAAGAAAGAGGGUUUGUAGGAGAAAAGAAAUUAUGAGUCUCUGCUCUGCUUGUGGAAAGAUCACAAAAGAGGUUCAGGAGCAUCUCUAAAUCUGCUCCAAGCUUCAAUCUAGGCCUUCUUCUCCGAUCAGAAAGAGGACACUGUAUGAAAAGGGGAGUUAUUCGAACAAACCGUCAAAUAAUGGCUGACCUGUUUCUGCUGAAUGCCACUUGGUUCAGAUGUAGGAAAGAAACGAGGGAAGAGGAGCGGGAAUCACGUGCUCUUAAUUUCUCUUCUUUUCUCCUGCAUGUGAACAAAUGAGCUGCAGGGGACACAGGGAGGGGGAGCGCCGCGAUUAAGUGUUAAAUAAAAUAUGGCCAGCUGACGUGAAUUGAUCACAGAGAAAUGUGGGACAGAGGAAAGCGAUUCUUCAAGAGUAGCAGGCGUAGCCGAGAAAGACCCCCACAGGGGCAGCGGCUGCCUGCUCUCCAGUACUUAAUGCAACAUCAUCAUUGGUCCUUGUCACGUAAACUUAAUUACACACAAUCUUCCAGCACCUUGAUAAAGGCAUGAAUAUCUUGUUGUUUGCAGUCAAUUUUGGAAGAGGACAAAGACACCGCCCAUGUGAGAGGGGCUCUUUAUG